ensembl:snRNA U6 U6 spliceosomal RNA
GUGCUGAAAUGCAGCACAUACACUAAAGUGGAAUGAUAAAGAGAAGAUCGGCGUGGACCCAGCCAAGGAUGACAUGUUAGCUCAGAAAGCAUUCCAUAGUUUU